rnacentral:rRNA from 1 species
GAUUAACGCUGGCGGCAUGCCUAAUACAUGCAAGUCGAACGGAAGCAGCAAUGCUUUAGUGGCGAACGGGUGAGUAACACGUAGGGAACCUACCUAUACGACGAGGAUAACUACUGGAAACGGUAGCUAAAACUGGAUAGGAUCAAUUGAGGCAUCUUGAUUGAUUUAAAGAUCCUUCGGGAUUACGUAGAGAUGGCCCUGCGGCGCAUUAGCUAGUUGGUGAGGUAACGGCCCACCAAGGCGACGAUGCGUAGCUGAGCUGAGAGGCUAAACAGCCACACUGGGACUGAGACACGGCCCAGACUCCUACGGGAGGCAGCAGUGGGGAAUAUUGCACAAUGGAGGAAACUCUGAUGCAGCGACGCCGCGUGAGGGAGAAGGUCUUCGGAUUGUAAACCUACUGUCUUCAGGGAC